GCCAGGAUGGCAUAGUGGUUUAAGUGUUGGACUAUGACUCUGAAGACCAGGGUUUGAUUCCCAACUUGGCC
rnacentral:tRNA from 1 species